AGGUAUCGAGGAAAGUCGUGCUGUGAUACCACGUACUGGGACACACUGCCCACAUAAUGGUAUGACAGGGCCUUGGUGCAGUUUCCGUGAAUGAUCAACACACAGAGGUGUCCUGCCUACCUCUCCACCCACAGCCAUCGCAUCAUGAACCAUGCCAACACCAGCACCAGUUAACUUUAUCAGAAGUGAAGUUACUCAGUCCCAUUCUUUGCCCACAGAAAUGUGUUAUUCUGGAGUAACUUCAAAGACUACUUCUCAAGAAACUUGAUGCUGAAAACCAUCCAAGGAGCAAAUCCAUUAGAGAAACAAAUUACAUAACACCUGGACUUGUCUGGGCCUUAACACCCAGCUGAUGUGGCCAACAACAGCAGGCACAAGUUCCGAGACGAGGAAAGAUUUUAAACACCAAAAGGAACAACCCUGCACAGGCUUUCCCUCCACAUAACCUGGGCUUGGCCCAUGUUCAUUGGAAUGUGUUAAUGGCCAGCACCACAAUCUGGAGGA